rnacentral:rRNA from 1 species
CAGGUCACUCCUACGGGAGGCAGCAGUGGGGAAUAUUGGACAAUGGGCGCAAGCCUGAUCCAGCAAUGCCGCGUGUGUGAAGAAGGCCUUCGGGUUGUAAAGCACUUUUAUCAGGAGCGAAAUACUACUGGCUAAUAACCGGUGGGGCUGACGGUACCCGCAGAAGAAGCCCCGGCUAACUUCGUGCCAGCAGCCGCGGUAAUACGAAGGGGGCUAGCGUUGUUCGGAAUUACUGGGCGUAAAGGGCGCGUAGGCGGUCUGACAAGUUAGAUGUGAAAUUCCCGGGCUUAACCUGGGGGCUGCAUUUAAGACUGUCAGGCUUGAAUCCGGGAGAGGAUAGCGGAAUUCCCAGUGUAGAGGUGAAAUUCGUAGAUAUUGGGAAGAACACCAGUGGCGAAGGCGGCUAUCUGGACCGGUAUUGACGCUGAGGCGCGAAAGCGUGGGGAGCAAACAGGAUUAGAUACCCUGGUAGUCCACGCCGUAAACGAUGAGUGCUAGACGUCGGGAAGCUUGCUUUUCGGUGUCGACGCUAACGCAUUAAGCACUCCGCCUGGGGAGUACGGCCGCAAGGUUAAAACUUAAAGGAAUUGACG